rnacentral:rRNA from 3 species
CUUGAAGGGUUUGAUCCUGGCUCAGAACGAACGUUGGCGGUGUGGAUUAGGCAUGCAAGUCGCGCGUGAAAGCCUUCGGGUGAGUAAAGCGGCGAACGGGUGAGUAACACGUAAUCAACCUACCCCUGAGACUGGAAUAGCCACUGGAAACGGUGGGUAAUGCCGGAUGGUCUGGCGCGGAGGCAUCUCUGCGCUAGUAAACGGUCCGCUGCUCAGGGAGGGGAUUGCGGGCUAUUAGCUUGUUGGUGGGGUAAUGGCCUACCAAGGCGAUGAUGGCUAGCGGGUCUGAGAGGAUGAUCCGUCACACUGGGACUGAGACACUGCCCAGACUCCUACGGGAGGCUGCAGUCGAGAAUCUUCCGCAAUGGGCGAAAGCCUGACGGAGCGACACCGCGUGUAGGAUGAAGGCCCUCGGGUUGUAAACUACUGUCACGCUAUAGGAACAGCUCUUCGGAGCCUGACCAAAGCGAGAGGAAGCACCGGCUAACUCCGUGCCAGCAGCCGCGGUAAGACGGAGGGUGCAAACGUUGUUCGGAAUCACUGGGCAUAAAGCGCACGUAGGCGGCCCGUUAAGUCCGAUGUGAAAUGCCACGGCUCAACCGUGGAACUGCAUCGGAUACUGGCGGGCUCGAGGAUGGUUGGGGUGAGUGGAACUCCAGGUGGAGCGGUGAAAUGCGUAGAUAUCUGGAGGAACACCGGUGGCGAAAGCGGCUCACUGGACCAUCACUGACGCUGAGGUGCGAAAGCUAGGGUAGCGAACGGGAUUAGAUACCCCGGUAGUCCUAGCCGUAAACGAUGGGCACUAGGUAGGGGGAACACCUAUGGUUUUCCCUGCCGGAGCUAAUGUGUUAAGUGCCCCGCCUGGGGAGUACGCUCGCAAGGGUAAAACUCAAAGGAAUUGACGGGGGCUCACACAAGCGGUGGAGCAUGUGGUUUAAUUCGAAGCAACGCGAAGAACCUUACCUGGCCUUGACAUGCAUGGAUUAGCUUCGUGAAAGCGGAGUAACGGCUCCUUCGGGAGCAGGAACAUGCACAGGUGUUGCAUGGCUGUCGUCAGCUCGUGUCGUGAGAUGUUGGGUUAAGUCCCGUAACGAGCGCAACCCCUAUCGUUAGUUGCCAACAGGUAAUGCUGGGGACUCUAGCGAGACUGCCGCUGUCAAGGCGGAGGAAGGUGGGGACGACGUCAAGUCAUCAUGGCCCUUAUGGCCAGGGCUACACACGUGCUACAAUGGCCUGUACAGAGGGUACCGAGACCGCAAGGUGGAGGCAAUCCCAGAAAGCAGGCCCCAGUUCGGAUUGCAGGCUGCAAUUCGCCUGCAUGAAGCCGGAAUCGCUAGUAAUCGCGUAUCAGCCAUGACGCGGUGAAUAUGUUCCUGAGCCUUGUACACACUGCCCGUCAAGCCACGGAAGCGAGGAGUGCUCGAAGUCGUUAUGCCUAACCCUCGGGAGGGCGACGCCGAAAGCAAGCCUCGUGACUGGGACUAAGUCGUAACAAGGUAGCCGUAGGGGAACCUGCGGCUGGAUCACCUCCUUU